CAGCCGCCGCGGGAAUACGUAGGUGGCAAGCGUUGUCCGGAAUUAUUGGGCGUAAAGCGCGCGCAGGUGGUUUAAUAAGUCUGAUGUGAAAGCCCACGGCUCAACCGUGGAGGGUCAUUGGAAACUGUUAAACUUGAGUGCAGGAGAGAAAAGUGGAAUUCCUAGUGUAGCGGUGAAAUGCGUAGAGAUUAGGAGGAACACCAGUGGCGAAGGCGGCUUUUUGGCCUGUAACUGACACCGAGGCGCGAAAGCGUGGGGAGCAAACAGGAUUAGAUACCCGCGUAGUCCCUGUCUCUUAUAA
rnacentral:rRNA from 1 species